CAGCAGCCGCGGGAAUACGGAGGGGGCUAGCGUUGUUCGGAAUUACUGGGCGUAAAGCGCACGUAGGCGGCUUUGUAAGUCAGAGGUGAAAGCCUGGAGCUCAACUCCAGAAUUGCCUUUGAGACUGCAUCGCUUGAACGUCGGAGAGGUGAGUGGAAUUCCGAGUGUAGAGGUGAAGUUCGUAGAUAUUCGGAAGAACACCAGUGGCGAAGGCGGCUCACUGGACGACUGUUGACGCUGAGGUGCGAAAGCGUGGGGAGCAAACAGGAUUAGAUACCCCAGUAGUCCCUGUCUCUUAUAC
rnacentral:rRNA from 1 species